ensembl:lncRNA
GAGUGGAUCACUGUCACUUAGCCCCACCCAAAAGAAGAGAGGAGCCAGUCACCGCUCAGCAUCAUGCUGGACCCCACCCAUUGUCCACAGCAGGAACAGUCUGAUUGGAUCAAGAGACUCAAUCCAGGCUUACAAACACCUGAAGGAGCUUGAGCCAGCAGAAACAGAUUCAGAGACCAUGAAACGGUGCAAAUCCCAGAUGACCAGGGACCACCACCACAGCGCGAUUCUCAGUGUACAGGUUGAAAGUUCUCCUCGCCAGCUCCUCACAAUGGCAGCGCCUUCAGUCGUGCCGUGUACCCGCCUGGACCAGGGGAUGGUGGUGCUGCCACUGUCACCCCUGGCUAACCGCACUCCUCCCGUUCCCAUCAUCCCGUCUGUCCAGGGGCAGAAGAACUGCGAGGAAGGACUUGAUGGUGCAGACGUCCACCAGGCCGUCGGCAGCGAAGCUAGAUUGGGGUCGUCGGAAGGUCCUGGCUAUACUCUUGCUAGCCCCUCUAAGACUGUGCUGGGGUCAGGAGCUACAUCUAAACACAAAAGCCUUGUCACGUACAUGACAGCCUUGGGAUCAGGGGCACGCACCAGCCGCGUUAAUACGGUCAUCUCGGUGACUGCGCUGGGGCCUGGGGGCCACAGCACAGAGUACAGGGCGAGACUGUGCCCCGCCUCUGCAGUGGCCCAAAGAGAGGAGCCCGGGAGGGUCCUGCCCCUCCCCCUUACCUGGGAGACAGUGGAGGACACUGGUCUGCAUGAUCCAGUGACAACUGAGUCCAGGGGCGUGGCCUGUGCAACCUCUUCUGCAAGCUGAAUGGACAAAUUUGAGCAGAGACUCUGCCCUCUUGUGCUAGAGAGAGGGUUGCGCCGCAACCUUGCCUUCGGAAAAUUGACCAAUCACAAACAGUGGCUUGACUGCUGAUGAGAACAAAAUAUAAAAAAAAAAAAACACUGAAGUAAUUACAAAAAAAGAUGAAAAAAGAUCACAAUGUGAAACAAAAAAAAUAUAUAUGUAAGGAUUAUGACUACUGGAGGGAUGUUGAGUUAACAGAUUACUGAAAAGAUGAUUUAUAUGCCACUAUUUAACAAGAACAAACUUAGAAGCCAAAUAGUGUGUCAUCUCUAUGUUGUUUCUCUAUUGUACAAAAUAUUAAUAUAUAUGUCAUAAAUCUAUGUAUGUCAUAUAUACAGUAUAUAUGACAUACACAUUGACAAAAUAAAGAAUAUAGAAUAUGGUACAAAUAACUUUUUUUUUGUGGGGGGGGGGGCUCAUUGGCUUGAAUUGAGAAUGUGAAUUGAGGUACAUUGGCACCCCGAGACUGUGACGACCACGACAUUUGAACAGACGCUGGCAGCGCUUCCUUUCAUCCAGCAGACUGUGCUUCAUUGCAAGCAGGUGUCCGGCAAUAUCGCACAGAUCUACAAAAGUGCACGUUAUCAGAGUCACUGUCCUUGUUGCCAUGGCAAGUCAGAUCCUCCUUGCCGACAAUGGCAACCCGCAUCCAUUGAGACCGUCGAUGGAUUUAAUUUUUUUUUUACUUGUUUAUCUCCUGUGAAAGUUCCUGCGCCUAAUUAAGCCCCGGCUCGUUAUUUUGCAUCAACUUUUUUGGUGAAAAAAAAAAAAAUUAUGCAGAGAGG